rnacentral:rRNA from 1 species
CCUACGGGCGGCAGCAGUGGGGACUAUUGCACAAUGGGGGAAACCCUGAUGCAGCGACGCCGCGUGCGUGAAGAAGUAUUUCGGUAUGUAAAGCUCUGUCAGCAGGGAAGAAAAUGACGGUACCUGACCAAGAAGCCCCGGCUAACUACGUGCCAGCAGCCGCGGUAAUACGUAGGGGGCAAGCGUUAUCCGGGUUUACUGGGUGUAAAGGGAGCGUAGACGGCAGGGCAAGUCUGGAGUGAAAGGCGGGGGCUCAACCCCCGGACUGCUCUGGAAACUGCCAGGCUGGAGUGCAGGAGAGGUAAGUGGAAUGCCGAGUGUAGAGGUGAAAUGCGUAGAUAUUAGGAGGAACACCAGUGGCGAAGGCGGCUUACUGGACUGUAACUGACGUUGAGGCUCGAAAGCGUGGGGAGCAAACAGGAUUAGAUACCCCUGUAGUC